UACGGAGGGAGCUAGCGUUGCUCGGAAUUAUUGGGCGUAAAGCGCACGUAGGCGGCUUGGCAAGUCGGAUGUGAAAUCCCUCGGCUCAACCAAGGAAGUGCAUCCGAAACUGCUGAGCUUGAGUACUUAAGAGGAUCGCGGAAUUCCCGGUGUAGAGGUGAAAUUCGUAGAUAUCGGGAGGAACACCAGUGGCGAAGGCGGCGAUCUGGGAAGAUACUGACGCUGAGGUGCGAAAGCGUGGGGAGCAAACAGG
rnacentral:rRNA from 1 species